rnacentral:lncRNA from 1 species
AUUUUCACAGAUGGCUUCAAUUAUAGCAAAGCUGCCUUCGUCAAUGCCGGUGGUGAUGAAUGGAAGAAAGAUGCCGUGUGGAAUUGUGGAAUUAGCACUGCCUGCCAUUGGAGGUAUUCUUCCGUGCACUUUCUAAUUUUAAGGUUGAAUACAAUUUUUUUGUGGAUUUCCUAUUUAGUGGUUUUUCUAUCUAUAUAUUUACCUGGGAGCAUUGAACUGAAUACUUCUGAAAGAUGGGCUUUCGUUUUUUUAGUCAUGGUAAGGUGAAGCAAAUUGCUGUGUGGUUGUGGUUUGGUUUGGUUGGGGUGGUGUGGUGUGGGGUGGGGUGGGUUGGUGGAGAGAAUGUAAGUUGCUUGAGGUAGUUUUGGUGGCAGUUGUCGGCGUGAUAUAGGUGGGUGGAUUUUGGUUGAAAUUAGCCAAUUUGGUGAGAUAGGGAGGGAUAGGAGAAGAUGAAAGAUUUUUGUUUUUAAAAUGGUAAUACGACCAUUUUGCCCUUUACUUAAAUGGCCAAAAUGAGUCAAAAAUUGAAUUUGUUGAUAAAUUGAAGGAUGAAUGGUCGGAUUCCGUCCACAUGUCCUCUAUAUGCCAUCGUUAUUAAAAGUUUGGGACCCCAGAUACAAAAAUGAAUGUUUGGGUAUAAUUUGUAACAUUUUGAAAGGUUUAGGACUCCAGCUGCAAAUUUUCCUUAAAUAUAUUGUGAUACAAGGCGUUGUAAAAUUUGGUACCGUUCUUUCACAACAUAAUCCCUUGGAUAUGGACACCAAUGUAUUGUCCUUGGUAUGGUAGAAAUAUUGUCGUUAAUUAUUUUGAACAUCAGUAAAAAUUGAUAAGUUCCAAUUCACAUUAAAUUUUUUAUUUGUUAAUUGUGGAAUUCGUUUAAAGCCUUUUGGCAUUAAGGUGGAUGUUUGUUGACUUCAAUAGUUGAAGAAUUAGGAGGCUCGAACCCAUUUACCCGACCCAAGUAGAAAGUUUCGUUUUGAGGUUCAACACUUAUAAUUGAGGUCUAACACUUUUAUAAGUGUUGCUCAAUGAUCUUUUAAUUGUGGGGAGAGAUAGUGAUCCUUGAAUUUUGAUUUAAUCAUCGGUUGUGGUCCUCCUGGAUAAAGGAGGAACCCCAGCUAACUUCACACUUCACUCUUUCAUUCUCUUGUGCUUAACUCUCAAUUUUCUCUCUUCUUUGUCUCACGGUUGCUCUUGCUUAUUGCGUUUUCUUCAUGAUCUUUCCACCACUUGUAAAUGUUUCUCUAGUUUCCUUCAUGGCUCCAACGGUUGAUCCGAGACAGGUUGUGGGCACUGGACUUCAGAGUGAUUUGAUAUGUGAACUGUGGAUAAAACUGAAACCUAAUUCUAGUGGAUCAAUUUUUGAUACGAAAGAACCUCGUGGACAGAUUUUGGGCAAUUUGAAUGCGAAAUCUCUAUUGAAACUUUGAAUAUUGUGUGGGUAUAUUGUUACAUUAUCUCUAUCAAGAACAUGGUUGUAUUUUAAUAUAACCUCAUGUAGACAUAAGCCAGCAAGAACAAGAACUCAUGUUCACGAAAUUGACCUGUGAAUUUUUUAGUAAGAUAAAAAAAAAACUAUCGCGAAUUUCUCUAUAGGUCUUACAACUGACUCUUACUAGUGGCGAGGGCCCUUCCUACUCAUUGCUAACGCAAAGGGAACGAGGAAUUCUCAAAGAAAAAAGUACGCUCUAAACCAAACGUGAAUGUCGUUUUCCCUGCCCAGAACGAGCUUUCCAUAGAGGCAAGUGAACUAGGUAAGCCGUAUGAUGGACAACUAUCUCUUGCAGUUCGGGCAGAACGAAAAUCUUUUGGUACCAAUAGAUAAAUCUUUCUUAAAUGAACAGCCACCACCGUUUGAAUUAAGAAACUGAAAAAAAAUCUCACAAUUAUUUACUAAUUGAAAAGCCACCUCCAUGACACUACCACCUCCUCUCUUGUAAUCACCAAAAUGACACAUCAAGUCCUUAAACUCCUAAAAUAUAUCAAAAGACACCUACUAACAAAUAAAAACAUAUAACUAAGCGCCUAUUUGAAGCUCAAUAAAAUCACAUUUUAAUGAGAAAUAAGAUUUUGAAAAAAUAUUUUAAUAUUUAAAAAAUCCUGUACACAAUGACCAAUUGAAAUUCAAUUUUCCCAUUUCACCCUCAGUUUAUGGCAAUAAAUGCUACUUUUACCCUCCAACUUUCUUAGUGGGAUAAAUUUGGAAUGACAAAAAUGAAGAAUUAAAAGUUCAUGGUGGAAAAAGUCAAAUUCAUUUCCUCUUUUUCAAUUACCAUAAACAAAUACUUCAUCUUCGUCCAACCGUGGCAUACGUUCAUUUACACCCUUUUUGAUACUUUAGAUUUCAAUAUGAGCAACCUUGCAUUAAACCCAUAUUUGCAAAAAAAAUUUAGCCCUUCGAGACAUAACACAGUGGUGCAAAGGAUAGGAGUGAGAUAGUCUCUACCUUACUGGCAGCCGCAGUGUGAGGGUUCGAUUCCUGAUAUAUGAAAUUGGACUCUUUGUGGGCACCAGUGUACGUGCAAGCUCUUGUUCUCUGACCUGCUGAGGUACAACUCGCGAUUUACCUUACUCACUAUACUCUAGGGGAGGGACGAUGGGAGCCCUCAAAAUUGGGGUUCAAUUUUUUUUUUUUUUUUCAUAUUUGUAAAAUAUUCUGAUUAUUGGUAUUAUUUAUACCCAUUUUUAUACUUUAGAUUUCAAUAUCAUUCUUGUUUUUAUUAUUCUUAUUAUAAACAUAACUCUUCGAUUUUUAGACACAUGCAUAUUAAUAUAAAUAAAUAAAUACAUGUAUUUAUGUCCAAAUAUGUGUAUGUAUAAUAUAUAGAUAUCUUUUUGUCAGUGUUGACCCCAAAAAGCGUUGUCAACAGAUGCCGGUCCCACCCGCGCACACGUAGGCGAAUGUCCAACACACUAAGACACGUGGACGGUAAAAAACGAGUGGUUCAAAGGGCGUGGGAGUAGCCCAACUACGCGAGACAGUGACGUUCGGAAUCCGACGGGUUGUUCGUGAUCCGAUUGUACAAUAAUUACCAACCGG